AGUGAACGCUGGCGGUAGGCCUAACACAUGCAAGUCGAACGGCAGCACAGUAAGAGCUUGCCCUUACGGGUGGCGAGUGGCGGACGGGUGAGGAAUACAUCGGAAUCUACUUUUUCGUGGGGGAUAACGUAGGGAAACUUACGCUAAUACCGCAUACGACCUACGGGUGAAAGCAGGGGAUCUUCGGACCUUGCGCGAUUGAAUGAGCCGAUGUCGGAUUAGCUAGUUGGCGGGGUAAAGGCCCACCAAGGCGACGAUCCGUAGCUGGUCUGAGAGGAUGAUCAGCCACACUGGAACUGGGACACGGUCCAGACUCCUACGGGAGGCAGCAGUGGGGAAUAUUGGACAAUGGGCGCAAGCCUGAUCCAGCCAUACCGCGUGGGGGAAGAAGGCCUUCGGGUUGUAAAGCCCUUUUGUUGGGAAAGAAAAGCAGCAGGUUAAUACCCCGCUGUUCUGACGGUACCCAAAGAAUAAGCACCGGCUAACUUCGUG
rnacentral:rRNA from 1 species